UACGGAGGGUGCAAGCGUUGCUCGGAAUUAUUGGGCGUAAAGGGGAGGUAGGUUGUCUCACUCGUCUAAGGUGAAAUCCCUGGGCUUAACCCAGGACGUGCCUUGGAAACAGUGAGACUAGAGUUCUGGAGAGGAUCGUGGAAUUCCCGGUGUAGCGGUGAAAUGCGUAGAGAUCGGGAGGAACACCAGAGGCGAAGGCGGCGAUCUGGACAGAUACUGACACUAAACUCCGAAAGCGUGGGGAGCAAACAGG
rnacentral:rRNA from 1 species